rnacentral:rRNA from 1 species
ACGCACGCUGGCGGCAUGCCUAACACAUGCAAGUCGAACGAGACCUUCGGGUCUAGUGGCGCACGGGUGCGUAACGCGUGGGAACCUGCCCUUAGGUUCGGAAUAACUCCCCGAAAGGGGUGCUAAUACCGGAUAAUGUCUUCGGACCAAAGAUUUAUCGCCUUUGGAUGGGCCCGCGUUGGAUUAGCUAGUUGGUAGGGUAAAAGCCUACCAAGGCGACGAUCCAUAGCUGGUCUGAGAGGAUGAUCAGCCACACUGGGACUGAGACACGGCCCAGACUCCUACGGGAGGCAGCAGUGGGGAAUAUUGGACAAUGGGCGAAAGCCUGAUCCAGCAAUGCCGCGUGAGUGAUGAAGGCCUUAGGGUUGCAAAGCUCUUUUACCCGGGAUGAUAAUGACAGUACCGGGAGAAUAAGCUCCGGCUAACUCCGUG